rnacentral:rRNA from 1 species
GACAAUUUGCACAGGUGCUGCAUGGCUGUCGUCAGCUCGUGUCGUGAGAUGUUGGGUCAAGUCCCGCAACGAGCGCAACCCCUGUGAACUGUUGCCACCGAGCCGUGAGGCUCGAGCACUCUGUUCAGACUGCCCCGCUCUAACGGGGAGGAAGGUGGGGACGACGUCAAGUCAGUAUGGCCCUUACGGCCAGGGCUGCACACGUACUACAAUGCCCAGUACAGAAGGAUCCAAGACCGCGAGGUGGAGGAAAUCACUAAAACUGGGCCCAGUUCAGAUUGAAGUCUGCAACUCGACUUCAUGAAGCCGGAAUCGCUAGUAAUGGCGCAUCAGCUACGGCGCCGUGAAUACGUUCCCGGGCCUUGUACACACCGCCCGUCACAUCAUGGAAGUCGCUUGUAGCCGAAGUCGGCGCGCUAACCGCAAGGAGGCAGCCGCCUACGCUAUGAGCGGUAACUGGGAUGAAGUCGUAACAAGGUAGCCGUAGGGGAACCUGCGGCUGGAUCACCUCCUUUCUAAGG